AGAGUUUGAUCCUGGCUCAGGACGAACGCUGGCGGCGUGCUUAACACAUGCAAGUCGAACGAGAAUCUACGGAUCGAGGAUUCGUCCAAGUGAAGUAGAGGACAGUGGCGGACGGGUGAGUAACGCGUGAGGAACCUGCCUUUCAGAGGGGGACAACAGUUGGAAACGACUGCUAAUACCGCAUGACACAUUGGGGUCGCAUGGCCCUGAUGUCAAAGAUUUAUCGCUGAAAGAUGGCCUCG
rnacentral:rRNA from 1 species